UGGGGACUUUUCCGCAAUGGGCGAAAGCCUGACGGAGCAAUACCGCGUGAGGGAGGAAGGCUUUUGGGUUGUAAACCUCUUUUGUUAAGGAAGAAUCAAGUGACGGUACUUAACGAAUCAGCAUCGGCUAACUCCGUGCCAGCAGCCGCGGUAAUACGGAGGGGGCGAGCGUUGUCCGGAAUUAUUGGGCGUAAAGAGCGUGUAGGCGGCCUGGUAAGUCUGCCGUGAAAACCUGGGGCUCAACCCUGGGCGUGCGGUGGAUACUGCUAGGCUAGAGGAUGGUAGAGGCGAGUGGAAUUCCCGGUGUAGCGGUGAAAUGCGCAGAUAUCGGGAGGAACACCAGUAGCGAAGGCGGCUCGCUGGGCCAUUCCUGACGCUGAGACGCGAAAGCGUGGGGAGCAAACAGGAUUAGAUACCCCCGUAGUCC
rnacentral:rRNA from 1 species